UGGAAUAGGCGGGGCUAUACCCUGCUCACCGCAGGCCAUAGAACAGCUACAAAUUCCUUAUAAAAAGGCCCGCAAGGACGCCACCCACGGCGGUCUAGCUCCGGAGAAUUUUACCCAUGUUAUUCAGGCCGUUAUAAAUCCGCAAAUCGCGCCACAUGGAGCGGCAUGGACUGAUUCCAACCACCAAGUGAUUGCGGACGUGGAGGUGCGUGUGUCGGCGGCGCCUACAGAGACAGUCGCCGUGCAACCGGAUGGGACUAUACAACACGUCUAUGGAGAUCCCCAGUGUGCGCCACCAGCAGGGCUGACCGUCAAUGAUUGGCCUGGUCUUGACGACAUCCUGGACGCGUCCUGGAAUUCAUCGCUGCUGGAACAUAGCGACUUCACUCCAGCUCUGUGGGUCGACUCUCCAGCUACAUCCGUAGAGGCUACCACCAGUGCAGAGCCUGUACAACACCACCAGCCUGCAGGCCCUGCAUCUGGAUCCCUACACGCCAUUCAAGCCCCUAUCUGCGACUCUCCGUGUAUCGUGAGUCCUCAUGAGGUAGCGGUGCUGCGGCUACCAGCCGGUCCCGCAAUUGCUGAUGGUGAAUACUGGGCUGUGCCGCAAGAUGCUAAAUGGCGUAAAGAAUUUGCUGAUAAAUUAGCCGUGUUAACUGCAACGGUGGCUGUAAACUCCUCAGCCAUUGAUCGUCAGAUUAAACGUGGUGACAGUAGAUACCAGGCUCUCGAAGAGCAGACGAAGCAGUCCUUCAGCGCUAUCAGGCUCGAAAAUGCGCGUGAUCGGAUGAUUGCUAAAUCCCCAAACACUGAAACCAGUAAUGGACUUGCAAUUGUGGACCUUCAACGUAAGCAUUUUGAGGCCGCGGUAGCUGUGCGAGGCAACACGCAGGGCAUAGCGAAAAUUAGCUCAGUAGAGGCGUUAAGAGCUUCUAAAACCGCUCGAAAAUUAUGGUUAAUGGAAUCUACUUGCAAAGCUAACCUGGAUGCCUAUAGGGCAUUGUGUACCGAGAUGUCUGUGAUGAGUGACACAGUAGCAAAGCUCUCGUUGAAUGCUAUUAUUUGAUUUGUGUUUUUUUUUUUUUCUUUUAUCUUGUGGAGAGGGUAUUUUUUUUUGUUUUAAACUGCAUGUAAUAAAACUUUUUUUUCAUUUAAUACCUGACUAAUUAACGUUUUUUUUUUUUUUUUUUAAAUAUAAUUUUUAUAUAUAUAUAUAUAUAUUUUAUUUUAUUUUCUAUCGGCAUUAAAAAAAAAAAAAACUAUAGCCGUACACCAUGCAUAACGCCAUUAGCCCUAGAAAAAGGAAAUUCAAAUCUAUAGACGGUAAUCCCAAGAGACGGCGUAGAUCUGAUAGUGGGGGUAGCAUUAUGGAUUUAGAACUUGAAGAGAUGACAAUGCGGUAUGACGCAACCGGCGAUACGUCUCAUUUGUCGGGCAUAGGCCAUGUGGUGGGUGGGGGCAUGUAUGCAGAAGGUUGUUUAGACAGGCGGGAAAUAUGUGUUGGCGUAGAUAGAACUAGACGGGUGUUAAUUGCAGCUGAUGCAUGGGGUCGUAGCAUGGCUAAUGCUCUAUAUCAGGCAGCACAGAUAAAUGUUUCGAACGAACCAUGUCUAGAUGACGUGGUGGGGCUAGAGGCACCAGGAGAUUUAGACACAAGGGGUGUGUUGUAUUCGGGGGGAAACACACGAGAUGUACUUAACGCUGUCGGGGGGCGGUUGGAUAGUGCACAAGAGAGUCUAUACAUAUCCACACAGAUCGAUGUAUUGCAGGGGUCGCAACGUGAUGAAGGGGUUGGCGCGGGUUUUCAGGACCCCCCGGCCGCGGCAGGGGUCCCUAUAGAGUCGAGGGGUGUGGUGUAUGUGGGGUCAAACACGCAAGAUGUACUUAACGCUGUCCGGGGAUGGUUGGAUAGUGCACAAGAGAGUCUAUACAUAUCCACACAGAUCGAUGUAUUGCAUGGGUCGCAACGUGAUGAAGGGAUUGGCGAGGGUUUUCAGGACCCCCCGGCUGUGGCAGGGGUCCCUAUAGAGUCGAAUAUACAGAGAGAGAGAGAGAGAGAGAGAGAGAGAGAGAGAGAGAGAGAGAGAGAGAGAGAGAGAGAGUGUCAGAGAGAGAGAGAGAGAGAGAGAGAGAGAGAGA
ensembl:lncRNA